rnacentral:rRNA from 1 species
AUUGAACGCUGGCGGCAUGCCUUACACAUGCAAGUCGAACGGCAGCACGGGUGCUUGCACCUGGUGGCGAGUGGCGAACGGGUGAGUAAUGCAUCGGAACGUACCGUGUCAUGGGGGAUAACGCUUCGAAAGAGGUGCUAAUACCGCAUACGCCCUGAGGGGGAAAGCGGGGGAUCGUAAGACAUCGCGUGAUACGAGCGGCCGAUGUCGGAUUAGCUAAUUGGGGAGGUAAAGGCUCACCAAGGCGACGAUCCGUAGCUGGUCUGAGAGGACGACCAGCCAAACUGGGACUGAGAGACGGCCCAGACUCCUACGGGAGGCAGAAGUGGGGAAUGUUGGACAAUGGGGGAAACCCUGAUCCAGCCAUGCCGCGUGAGUGAAGAAGGCCUUCGGGUUGUAAAGCUCUUUCGCAAGGAAAGAAAACCUAUCCGCUAAUACCGGGUGGGGAUGACGGUACCUUAAUAAGAAGCACCGGCUAACUACGUGCCAGCAGCCGCCGUAACAC